CGGUGGUCCUCGCGCGGCUCUUCCUGCUGCUCCUCACACGACUCCCGCGAUGAUCGCGCGCUGACCACGCCUCGCUCUUCUCGAGCCGCUCCUCCUCGCUGAUUCCAACAGCGACGGUGAUUCCAAUGAUUCCACCGAUUCCACCGCUGUUGGAUCUCCACUGAUUCCAUCGAUUCCACCAAUUUCGCCCCGAAGCGGUGACUCCGCCACAUAAAACCCAGCCACGAUGACUCCGCCGUGCGCAUCCUCUCUCGCUCGCUCCUCACUCGACCAACGCCGCUAGCGCACCACCACAACGCCGGAUCAGCGCCGAGCCACCACCGCACAACCGCAUCCCCUUCCGCCGGUGCCACGCCCGGGACUGCCCCCGAUGACGACGGACGCACGCCCCCAUUGCUUCUCCGCAAAUAGCUCCUGAGCUUCAUGCGAAGCCCGCGCCGGCCCUAGGAAAGCCUCUCCUCCGCGAAUCCCUCCUCACGGAAGCCCUAAGCUCCUCUGUCUUCCUCAGGGAGCGUCGCCGAUCCGUCGGUCGCUGGUCACCCUCCCGUCGCCGGAUCCCCUCCCGUCAUCGGCUGCCACCCGGUGUCUAUCGCCGUCGCUGUUGGAUAUAGGUCGUUGUCCGGCGUUGACUGCUCUCGCUAUUGGAUCAAGGCUGUCGCCCAUCGUCGGGCAUCAUCCACUGUCACCGCCGCUCACCGGCUUGCUGCCUGAUCGAGCAGGCCAGCACCCAUCUCCAGCGCCCGUCAGGUGAACCAAGUACAGAGGAUGCGGUGGAGGCGUGGGGGCUAAUCACUAAUCAGUCAGAUUUUUGUGGAUCGAGCUUAUUACCUCAGUUUUCUCCUCUUCGGUGAUGGAGCCGGUUCAGGUGCGCUGCAAAGGAAAUAGUUGCCACACCCCCAGAAACCAAGUGAAUGUGCUCUUAUCCUGAUACGGCAUAGUGAAUCAUUGUGGACUGACUGAAAUCUGUUUUAUUGUGGAAUGAGCAAAAAUUGUUUACUUGAUGUCGAGAAGGCUAUAUAUGUCGGGAGCUGUUUGGAAAGGGUUUAAUCGGAGCAACGUUAUUGGGAAAGUAUUUUGCGGGGCAGUUUGGAAAGGGUUUUGUCGGAGCAAUUCUGGGAAUUAUACUUUUAUUGGAUCAAUAAUGAUUGGAAAGGAUUUUAUCGCAGAAAUCUUGAUUAGGAAGGCAUUCCCAUGAGUUGCAAAUCCAAGGAAGUUAUUACAAGCUAAUCGAUUUAUCCCAUUACGAGCUAAAGCCCGCUGGUAUGUUUUUUUUUCUCUGCCAUUCACCAUUGAAAUAUGGAAUACCAUAUUCUUUUUUCAUUCGAUGCACUCUUUAUUGUCUGUUCUAAUUUCUUCGACUACUAAUAAUUUGCAGUUUGAUAUUGCUUUAUCCCACUGCUUUUCCAUUAGAACCAACAAAAGGAGAAAUUCCUUUAGCUGAAGUCCUCAGAUUCAAUACCAAAGUUGAUUGUUUGAUUCUAAACGUAAUUAUCAUGGUUUCUUGUGGUCCUUUAAUGGUGAUAUUAAGAUUUGGGCAAAAUUGGUACAAAAGCUACAUGUCCAAAAUACCUUGGUAGCUUCCCCACUUCUAUUAUCUCUCCAAUUUACUCUUAAAUUGUAUGAUACAAUAUUAUCAAGUUUCAUAGUAGUUAUUUUGGACUCACCUACUCUUAAAUUGUAUGAUACAACAUUAUCAAGUUUCAUAUUAGUUAUUUUGGACUCACCUCUUCAAAGUACCUGUCAUCUGGGUUGGGAGGUAAUUUCUAAAUCUCAGCUCUGCUAUUUGAUGAUCUGACAUUCAUAUUUUACUACAUACUUCUUGUCACUAGAAUUCCUGCUGCAUACGUACUAGCUAGGUAUUUCCUCUUACAAUAAUGGUUGUCAGAAUUGGCAGCAUGAAACUGAUCAGCUCAAUGUAACACUUGAACAAUCUGAGAGUUUUCGUUUACUCCAGGACACCUGACAGUUGACACAUAUGAUAUAUUUAACACAUUGUGUUGAUUGCGCAUAAAGAAGUAGCCCAACAUAUUUCUGCUAAGCACAUGAACAUAUUGGUACAUAUUUACACUUCUUUAUUUUUACAAGGCACUAUGCUACUGAUAGUUUAUUGAUGGGCUGCAGCUGAAUUUAUUUUAAAAACAACUACUAUUUUUUUUUCACCUACGUUGCCAUUCCUCCGUUCCUGCAUGUCCACUUUGUUGCAAAUCCGGAAUUGUGGAGAAACUCUUGAUGUUCAUCAUAUGCCAGUUUAUACUUUUCUAAAUUGCCAAAUUGAAAAGAGGGUUACAUAUUUAUUCAGUCCUAUCUACAGGUUGGAGGUUGUAUGCAGCUAGCUAGGUCACUUUCUUAUCACAACUCACAAGAUUGCCGCUUUAAUAGCUGUAGUUUGAAUCUAGGAUGGUCUGUCACAAGGAGCUUUAAUUACUUCUAUGAAUUUUGUUAAAUUAAAAUUGAUACAUUUGUGGCUUUUAUUGUUUGAGAUUCAAAAAAAAAUUAGGUUGCUGCUCAAGAGCAAAAGGCAAUAACAUGGGGCAGUGAUAAAACUAUUUUUGGGCACAGUUAGUCUGUGACCAUGUCUUCAUAGGCACAGUUAGUUUGUGACCAUCUCUUCAUAUGCAUAUUGCAUAAAUGAAAGGGAAACUCAUUGUUAAAAAAACUGAAAUGGAAACAACUUUUCCAUGGUGAUCCGAUUGACCAUAGCUCGGAUCUUGGAUAUCAAUACUGUAAUUCAUAAAGUGCAGAAUACAUGAUUCAGUUGGAGAAAGGCAAUACAUGAGGAAGAUGUUUUGAACAA